AAGCUCUGUAUGUAGCUGGGUGUGGUGGCACAUGCCUGUAAUCCCAGCAACUCAGGAGGCUGAGGCAGGAGGAUCACAAGUUCAAAGACAACCUCAGCAAUUUAGCAAGGCCCUAAGCAACUUGGCAAGACCCUGUCUUUAAAAAAAAAGUGGGGGGGCUGGUGAUGUGGCUUAGUGGUUAAAUACCCCUGGGUUCAGUCCCUGAUACCCCCCACCCCAAAAAAGAGAAGAAGCUGUUUUGUCAUGUGCCCCACUUCAAUCACAACCCCGCAACACCUGAGAGCAGUCCUGACUUUCCCACUAAUCAUUUCUGUACUUUUCUGUAGAGUUUUAUCACCCAAAUAUGUCUGUAGCCACAAAACUUAGUCUUGCCCCCAUUUUCAAAAAACUGGUAUGCUUUUGGGCUGGGCUUGUGGUUCAGUGGUAGAGCACUUGCUUAGCAUGUGAGGCACUGGGUUUAAUAAUCAGCACUGCUUAUAAAUAAAUGAAUAAAGGUCCAUCAACAACUAAAAAAAUUAUAAAUAAUUGGUAUGCUUUUUAAAAACAGCUUUGUUUUAAAACAAGACCCAACUUACAUACUGUAAAAUUCACCUAUUUAAACAGUAUAAACCAGUGCUCUUUAGUGUAUUUACAGAGUUGUGAAAUCAUCAGCAUAAUCUAAUUUUAGAACAUUUUAAUCACCCCAGAAAGAACUCUUAUACCUUUUACUAAGUGAUUGGUCCUAAGUCUCCUACUCUACAUAUCUCCCCUAUAUCUCUGUCUCCUUUUCUUUUCCUAGCGAUUCAUCUGCCGAAGGACCCCCAGCUAGAUUUGCACCUAUUUUGAAGAUUUGGAAAUUCAACUCUGUUGGGUCAGAUUGGGCAGAAAGCAUUGGCACACAACUAGCCAGGAAGCCUGGGGUGGUACACUUAACCUCUCUUUGCCUCUGUUUGUCUGUAAGAUGGAGGCAGUUACCUUACCUACCCUUACCUUCCUCAUAGGACUGCUGAGAAAAUUAAAUAAAGUAAUAGAUGAGGAGAUCAGAAGACUUUUCUUCGUGCUAGAGGACCAUGAAAAGGCUCUCUGGGGCUGGGGCUGGCUCAGUGGUACAGCACUUGCCUAGAAUGUGGGAGGCACUGGGUUUGAUCCUCAGCCCCAAAUAGAAAUAAAAUAAAGGUAUUGUAUCCAUCUACAGCUAAAAAUGAUUUUUAAAAGGCUCUCUGCCCUCACUCUUUUUUUUCCCAGUUAAUUAUCAAUCUACUCGUUGACUAUUUUGUUAUCUCUUUAUUUAUUGUACUAGAGAUUGAACCCAGGGGUACUCUACCAUGGAGCCACCUCCCCAGCCCUAUUUAUUUAUUUAUUUAUUUAUUUUUAACAGAGAGAGAGAAAAAAG
rnacentral:lncRNA from 1 species